CUUCCGAUCAACGAACAAAACGGAUUCCCUACGCCCAAUGGAAAUUGAGAUCAAACUAUAGAUGGUGAAGAGCGACAACCGGAACCUCGUGGCCCAAUCUAUCGGCAACGGGGAUCAAGCGACUGCUUCCACUAAGAGAAGAAGAGAAAAGGGGGGCUUGUGGGGCUAUUUUGGGAUCCGCAGGUUGAACGAAGCUAUAAGAGUAGGGAAGGAAAGCGAGCGAGGGAAUAU
rnacentral:lncRNA from 1 species